UACAGAGGGUGCAAGCGUUAAUCGGAAUUACUGGGCGUAAAGGGCGCGUAGGUGGUUAAUUAAGUUAGAUGUGAAAUCCCUGGGCUUAACCUAGGAAUUGCAUUUAAAACUGAUUGACUAGAGUGUGGUAGAGGGAAGUGGAAUUUCCAGUGUAGCGGUGAAAUGCGUAGAUAUUGGAAGGAACACCAGUGGCGAAGGCGACUUCCUGGACCACUACUGACACUGAGGCGCGACAGCGUGGGGAGCGAACAGG
rnacentral:rRNA from 1 species